GUUCAAGAAAAAUAUCAAUAAAACAAGAUUGAAAC
rnacentral:other from 1 species